rnacentral:rRNA from 1 species
CGCUAUCACUCCUACGGGGAGGCAGCAGUAGGGAAUCUUCCACAAUGGGCGCAAGCCUGAUGGAGCAACACCGCGUGAGUGAAGAAGGGUUUCGGCUCGUAAAGCUCUGUUGUUAAAGAAGAACACGUAUGAGAGUAACUGUUCAUACGUUGACGGUAUUUAACCAGAAAGUCACGGCUAACUACGUGCCAGCAGCCGCGGUAAUACGUAGGUGGCAAGCGUUAUCCGGAUUUAUUGGGCGUAAAGAGAGUGCAGGCGGUUUUCUAAGUCUGAUGUGAAAGCCUUCGGCUUAACCGGAGAAGUGCAUCGGAAACUGGAUAACCUGAGUGCAGAAGAGGGUAGUGGAACUCCAUGUGUAGCGGUGGAAUGCGUAGAUAUAUGGAAGAACACCAGUGGCGAAGGCGGCUACCUGGUCUGCAACUGACGCUGAGACUCGAAAGCAUGGGUAGCGAACAGGAUUAGAUACCCUGGUAG